AGGACGAACGCUGGCGGCGUGCCUAACACAUGCAAGUUGAGCGACGAACCGGGGCUUGCCCCGGGGCAAAGCAGCGAACGGGUGAGUAACACGUGGAUAACGUACCCCGAUAACCGGGACAACCCGAGGAAACUCGAGCUAAUACCGGAUGUGCCCACCACACAUCAGUGUGGUGUGUAAAGGAAGCUUCGGCCUCCGUAUUGGGAGCGGUCCGCGGCCCAUUAGCUAGUUGGUGAGGUAACGGCUCACCAAGGCAACGAUGGGUAGCUGGUCUGAGAGGACGAUCAGCCACACUGGGACUGAGACACGGCCCAGACUCCUACGGGAGGCAGCAGUGGGGAAUCUUGCGCAAUGCGCGAAAGCGUGACGCAGCAACGCCGCGUGGGGGAAGAAGGUUUUCGGAUUGUAAACCCCUUUCAGGAAGGACGAAGGUUCGGCAGUGAAUAGCUAACCGGAUUGACGGUACUUCCACAAGAAGGUCCGGCUAACUACGUGCCAGCAGCCGCGGU
rnacentral:rRNA from 1 species